rnacentral:lncRNA from 1 species
GAGUCGAGCCCUUGAGCAAAAAGCCUACCCAUCUGUAAGUGCCUGAGGCAGGCCUCCCACGGAGAAGAAGAUGAAGGGCCUGAGUGUCUGGUACCAGACCCAACAGCAGUGGUAUCCCUCUGUAUGUGCUCCCGAGGUGGGGAUUUGUAGAGUGCAGAGCUAACCUUGGAAAGUUUGCAUUCCCUAGAAGCAGGUAGGGCAGGCGCUGAGCAUUUGCCACGUGUUGGGGCAGAGCACACCAUGUCACCGCUGCCUUGAGCAGUGAGAAUGCCUGUCUGAAGGGCCUUGUCUGUAGAGCCUUUCUGAACCUCUCUGGGCUUCACAGCCCUGCAUGGCCUGUGCCGUGACUGUGCACCCCAGACCCAGGAUUGUGAGGUGUGGCUUCAGUGUUGCCCCUGUCCUCCCAUGAAAAGUUCCCUCUCAAGUGGAGGUCAGAGGCUGGGAGGACUCCUGUUGGAAUGGCUGUGGUGACUGGGUAAUAAAUUUUAUUGCUGUUUCCUCCACAGGACAGAUCACAGUGAGAUUCUCAUAUACCUUCUCCUAGCCCUGGUGGGGCCAGGACUGCACUGACCCUGGACAUCAAAGGGAGGAUUAUGUGGCUGCUAAGGCCAUCAGCCCACAGCAGUGGUUGGUCCAUCUUGGGCUUCCAGAGACUGGGCUCCCGUGGCAUAUAUAAAAGGCGGAGCCUCAUAAACUGUUGCACCUGGCAGCUGCCUUUGUUCCCAGUCCUAGAGAGACUGAGUCUACACACUGGAAUUGAGCUGUGACUUUAAGGCAGUCAUUCAAUGAAGGACACCCUCCCCUAGGCAGAUGGAGAGCCGGUUGCCUGCUUCCUGUGAUUGCAAAAACUAGCUGCCAUGCUCUGAGACUGCAGAAUCAUGUGACACCUCCUGUGGCUGGUCCCCAAGGAUUCUGCAAAGCCCUUUUGAUGUGUUCAGUCAACAGAGCAUUCCUGUUUUUGAAAAUGCAGGAAAGCCUAAAAUGUCUUAAUAAAGUACCAGAUUUGCUAGUGUUCCAGUUUGCUUCUGAAUUUGAUGCUCCUUAAAAGCAAAGAAGAACGUGUGUCAGAACAGGCACUUUCCACACACUUCCUACCUCCAGGUAAUGUUAAUUCUAAAAAGGUUGGAAGUAAAGGGAAAUUAGUGUGGCUUGGGACUCUGCUCUCUUCCAAAUGUGGAGUUUCAGCCAGCCUGGUACUAGCGGAGUCUCAGAACAAGCUCUAAGCUCUUUCAGUCACUGUCUAGAGAACGGUGCUUGAGACUGAGCCAUCAGUGCAGUCACAUGAGCCCAGCCAAGGCAGAGCGGUGGACAGAGGAACCAGAAGGAGCAUCCCACUGGCUGGCCAGGCUUCUGCACCCAGACCUGCUGGGUGACAAAGGCUCUAGGACAGACUGAGAGGAGCGUCCGCACAGAACCAUUGGUUUUCAGAGCCUGGGCUGUAGCAGUGACUGCAUUUGGAUGGUUGCAGGGGACUUGCAAAUGGUUAUCUGCUUUGUAUACCACAAUGGUACAAGUAUCAAAGUGUGUUAAUUCUACUUAAUGUUACCCUGAUUUCUGUGAAGACUUGAAAUAAAUGGCUGAGUCUAUGCCUUCCUGCUC